UAGGGAAUCUUCGCAAUGGGGCAACCCUGACCGAGCAACGCCGCGUGAGUGAAGAAGGUUUUCGGAUCGUAAAGCUCUGUUAGUAAGAGAAGAACGUGUGUGAGAGUGGAAAGUUCACACAGUGACGGUAACUUACCAGAAAGGGACGGCUAACUACGUGCCAG
rnacentral:rRNA from 1 species